rnacentral:rRNA from 1 species
AGAACGAACGCUGGCGGCACGCCUAACACAUGCAAGUCGAGCGCCCAGCAAUGGGAGCGGCGGACGGGUGAGUAACACGUGGGAACAUGCCUUUCGGUACGGAACAACUGCGGGAAACUGCAGCUAAUGCCGUAUACGCCCUUACGGGGAAAGAUUUAUCGCCGAAAGAUUGGCCCGCGUCUGAUUAGCUAGUUGGUGAGGUAACGGCUCACCAAGGCUUCGAUCAGUAGCUGGUUUGAGAGAACGACCAGCCACAUUGGGACUGAGACACGGCCCAAACUCCUACGGGAGGCAGCAGUGGGGAAUCUUGGACAAUGGGGGAAACCCUGAUCCAGCGAUGCCGCGUGAGUGAUGAAGGCCUUCGGGUUGUAAAACUCGUUUCGACGGGGACGAUAAUGACGGUACCCGUAGAAGAAGCUCCGGCUAACUUCGUGCCAGCAGCCGC